AAACCGGUUUUUUUUUAAAACCACUUAAUACAUCAUGCAAUAUUUAUU
rfam:Otolemur garnettii contig097671, whole genome shotgun sequence.